GGAGGCAAGACUUAGGUGGUAGAGUGCUUGCUUACCAAGCAUGAGGCCCUGAGUUCAAAUCUCAGUACCACCA
rnacentral:tRNA from 1 species